rnacentral:tRNA from 1 species
GGAAGAGGAUCGCGUCCCGGUGGUGCGCACGGACUUCAAAUCCGCUGAGAUCUGUCAGGCAGGUCUGGUAGGUUCGACUCCUACCCUCUUCCGCCA